UGCAGAAUCCCGUGAACCAUCGAGUUUUUGAACGCAAGUUGCGCCCGAAGCCAUCAGGCCGAGGGCACGUCUGCCUGGGCGUCACAC
rnacentral:rRNA from 1 species